UUGUUAUUUACUCCUACUCUUGAGGAUCUAUACUAUAUUGGUGAUAGUGGAAUAAUCAAGCUAUUCUCUUUUUGAUGUUUUUUUUUGGAUUGUGAUUGACUAAGAAUAUUGGUCUUGUUUAUUAAUAUGUGAUGUGCUUUAAAAUCCUACUACCAUACUGGUAUUACCCUGUUGCUAGUAAUUUGUUAUUUGGGUUGAUACAAAAAAAAAAAAAAAAACAAAACAAAACAUGA
rnacentral:lncRNA from 1 species